GCUGGCGGCGUGCCUAAUACAUGCAAGUCGAGCGAACAGACGAGGAGCUUGCUCCUUUGACGUUAGCGGCGGACGGGUGAGUAACACGUGGGUAACCUACCUAUAAGACUGGGAUAACUUCGGGAAACCGGAGCUAAUACCGGAUAAUAUUUCGAACCGCAUGGUUCGAUAGUGAAAGAUGGCUUUGCUAUCACUUAUAGAUGGACCUGCGCCGUAUUAGCUAGUUGGUAAGGUAACGGCUUACCAAGGCAACGAUACGUAGCCGACCUGAGAGGGUGAUCGGCCACACUGGAACUGAGACACGGUCCAGACUCCUACGGGAGGCAGCAGUAGGGAAUCUUCCGCAAUGGGCGAAAGCCUGACGGAGCAACGCCGCGUGAGUGAUGAAGGUCUUCGGAUCGUAAAACUCUGUUAUUAGGGAAGAACAAACGUGUAAGUAACUGUGCACGUCUUGACGGUACCUAAUCAGAAAGCCACGGCUAACUACGUGCCAGCAGCCGCGGUAAUACGUAGGUGGCAAGCGUUAUCCGGAAUUAUUGGGCGUAAAGCGCGCGUAGGUGGUUUUUUAAGUCUGAUGUGAAAGCCCACGGCUCAACCGUGGAGGGUCAUUGGAAACUGGAAAACUUGAGUGCAGAAGAGGAAAGUGGAAUUCCAUGUGUAGCGGUGAAAUGCGCAGAGAUAUGGAGGAACACCAGUGGCGAAGGCGACUUUCUGGUCUGUAACUGACGCUGAUGUGCGAAAGCGUGGGGAUCAAACAGGAUUAGAUACCCUGGUAGUCC
rnacentral:rRNA from 1 species